UCUGUGUCAGAUCAUUGCAACAUUUUCCCCAUGUCAGUUGUUCCCUGUGGGUCCUCGUUGAUUUCACUUUGUUUUGGAAUUUGGAAACACGUGUGCUGCUCCGUGCCGGGUCGGAGAGCGCAGCCUGUGGGCGUUGACAGACGAGGGAGCAUGAAGCCCUACCAGACUACACAUAUCUGGUGGAAGUUCUGGGUCACACUGUGAUAGUAGAAGAGCAACUCGCCUGUCCUUUCAGGAGUCCGUGUGAAAACAGAGCAGCUGUGUCUACCUUCUUGUGUCUAUCUGAAUUGAAAACAAAAAUAAAGUCAAUCACACAUUU